UACAGAGGGGGCAAGCGUUGUUCGGAAUUACUGGGCGUAAAGGGCGCGUAGGCGGCCGCCUAAGUCAGACGUGAAAUCCCUCGGCUCAACCGGGGAACUGCGUCUGAUACUGGGUGGCUUGAAUUCGGGAGAGGGAUGCGGAAUUCCAGGUGUAGCGGUGAAAUGCGUAGAUAUCUGGAGGAACACCCGUGGCGAAAGCGGCGAGCUGGAUCACUACUGACGCUGAGGAACGAAAGCUAGGGGAGCAAACAGG
rnacentral:rRNA from 1 species